GAUGAACGCUGGCGGCGUGCUUAAUACAUGCAAGUCGAGCGAACAGACGCGGCGCUUGCUCCUUUGACGUUAGGGGCGGGCGGGUGAUAAACACGUGUAUACCCUCCUUAUAUGACUGGUAAAUCUUCGGGAAACCGGAGCAAAUCCCGGAUAAUCUAUUGAACCGCAUGGUUCAAUAGUAAAAGACGGUUUUGGUGUAUCUUAUAGAUGGUUCUCCGCCGGAUUGGCUAGUUGGUAAGGUAACGGGCUACCGAGGCAAGCAGGCGUAGCCGACCUGAGAGGGUGGUAGGCCACACUGGAACUGGGACACGCUCCAUACUCCUACGGGAGGCAGCAGACGGGAAUCUUCCGCAAUGGUCGAGAGCCUUACGGAGCAACGCGGCGUGAGAGAUGAAGGUGUUCGGUUCGUAAUGCUGUGUUAUUAGGGAAGAACAGAUGUGGAAGUAGCCAUGCAGGGCUUGACGGUAAUUGAUAAGGAAGCCCCGGCUAACUACGUG
rnacentral:rRNA from 1 species